AGCAGCCGCGGUAAUUCCAGCUCCAAUAGCGUAUAUUAAAGUUGUUGCAGUUAAAAAGCUCGUAGUUGAAUUUCGGGAUCAAUAUGUUGGUCGUGCCUCGGUACGUACUAGCUUAUUGGUUUCUCCUUUCUGAAGAACCAUGAUGUCAUUUAUUUGGUGUCGUGGGGAAUCAGGACUGUUACUUUGAAAAAAUUAGAGUGUUUAAAGCAGGCUCACGCUUGAAUACAUUAGCAUGGAAUAAUGAAAUAGGACGUUUGAUUCUAUUUUGUUGGUUUCUAGGAUCGACGUAAUGAUUAAUAGGGAUAGUUGGGGGCAUUAGUAUUCAAUUGUCAGAGGUGGAAAUUCUUGGAUUUAUUGAAGACUAACUACUGCGAAAGCAUUUGCCAAGGAUGUUUUUCAUUAAUCAAGAACGAAAGUUAGGGGAUCGAAGACGAUCAGAUACCGUCGUAGUCUUAACCAUAAACUAUGCCGACUAGGGAUCGGAUGAUGUUAAUUUUUUAAUGACUCAUUC
rnacentral:misc_RNA from 1 species